UUGGGGACAACCAGCUCUAUCUCCUCCCUCCCUCGAUCCGCGCCAUGGCAGGCACCGAAACAAGCACCGGCGGGAGCGCACACUGGCCUGGCGCGCGGUGCUGCAGCGACCAGAGCGCGCCCAUCAACCGCGCCGGUGCGUGCGGAGUCGAUCCCGCGGCCGUCGUCACGUGAACCACCACCGCCUCGUCGCUGAUAAGGCCACGAUGGAAAGAGACGUUGCUGCCGCCGCGGGAAGCCGCCCUCGUCGCCGUUCCUCUUCUUCUUCUCCGUGGCCCCGCUCCCUUUCCACUCCUUCGAGCACAAGCAGUAGCAGCACGCAUCGAGCACAAGCAGCACUAACACUUGGUGGCGAGCAUGUACACGCUGCACACACACACACACAAGCUAUCUAAGGUAAGCUAACAGGCUGGUUGAUCAACUCUUUGCAAGAAAAUCACGUACACAGAUGCCUAAGCAGCUUAAUUGAUUCCGGCUAUCUGAACAAGUUAUUGUUAUCCAAAUGAUUUGCCUACAAUAAGCUAUUAUUCACAUUGGUUCAAUAGAUGUCUAUGUAGUAGAAAAUUACACUACCAGUGAUAGUCUGAAUCUAAGAACUCACCCUGAAAUAUAUUAAUCAUGCUUUCAUUCUGAUUUGUACAUCGUCCUGGAUGGUCUGCCCAAAAGAUGCUCAUAGCUUUUCUUAGCCUAUGUUGCAGCUCAUUUUUUAUAUUUAAAGAACAACCAUGUGGCAGAGUGGUUCUACUUCUCAUAAAUUGACAGAAAGGUUCUAGCAUGUUUUCAUUUGCAAGUAAAACUCGACCUUCUUUUAGUUGAGUGAAUAUCUUUCAGAUAUGGAACCUUUUACAGUACAUGUCUUUCCUUCUAAAUGUGAAUUCAUGUACAUCUUCAAGCACUUCACAUUUGUUGUAGCACUACGUAAUGGUGUACUUCUUUUAGAAAUUCUGCUCCUUACUUUUAUAAAUUCUACAUAUGGUUUCUCAUCACUUGGUCUAUAUAUAUCACCUUUUGGGCAACGAAUUAUUCAGUGUUCUGUGUUAAAGCUUUCAACCUUGAAAGCACAUAUUUGUUUGGGCAUGUGCUAUAUGUACCAUUUUAGAAGUAGUCAUUUGCUUAAACAUAGUGAAACUAGUCUGAGUACUGGCCCAAUCGUACCUCCACCCCUAAUAGCAAGGGCCACAUGUCAUGCCAACUAUUAGCAAGGGCCACCCCUAAUAGUUUGAUAGUUGGCGAACCGGGGCACGGCGACCUCAUAGGCUUUCUAACAAAGAGGUGUUGUGUAAAUUGGUGUUUGUUUUGAGUUUUAGUCUAUUAAAGGUUCUUUCCUAUGCAAAGAGGUGUUGUGCAUGGUGAUCGCCUUCAAUUUACUUUCUGCAGGUAGAGUUACUGUGUUAAAUCUUGAAUGAAGCAUCCGGGUAGUUGCAUUGGGUCAAGUGUUUCUCAGAUGCUUGUACAUAUCUUGGCUCAGUAAAUCGAUAUAAUCCAUACUUAGCUAUGAAGGGACUUUCAUGAAUCAUAGCACUGGUGUGUGGAUGCCAUGCAUCUAUGGAUUAUUGGUUUAGUGUAUUGUAGAUAUGUGAUCCUUUUAUCUAACUAGCUUGUAUGUGCUUGUUAUUGAACUGCAUGUCGGGGAGGUUCUGAUGGAAACAAGUUCAGGAUGUCUCUGGGUCUGCCUGUGGCAGCCACUGUGAACCGCGCUGAUAACACUGUUGCUGCAUCUGGCGGAGCUGUUGCUGCCGCCCCAAAGGGCAACCUUCAUCACACACAACCCCAUAACAGGGCCUCAAGGCCGACGCCAAAAGUGGUGCUUGUGGUGCCAAGCAAGACUAACUGUAUGUGAGAUUUUGGUCCAUCUGUACACCAUCUUUGGGGUCCAGGCGUACGCCUCCAUGCUUGUCGGCGGUGCCCUUUCCUUCAACCUCGUCUUCCCCUCCAGCGAGCCAGACAUGUGGAGGCUCAUGGGGAUGUGGUGCAUCUGGAUG